UGAGUGCGAGCUGCUACGGCAGCGAAGUUGGUGAUGUCAUGCUUCCAAGAAAAGCCCUAUACCCGUUAAGGCAUCAUGGCCUGUACCCGAAACCGACACAGGUGGGGUGGUAGAGAAUACCGAGGGGCGCGAGGUAACUCUCUCUAAGGAACUCGGCAAAAUGGCCCCGUAACUUCGGGAGAAGGGGUGCCACCGCAAGGUGGUCGCAGUGAAGAGGCCCAGGCGACUGUUUACCAAAAACACAGGUCUCCGCUAAGUCGCAAGACGAUGUAUGGGGGCUGACGCCUGCCCAGUGCCGGAAGGUUAAGGAAGCUGGUCAGCGCAAGCGAAGCUAGCGACUGAAGCCCCGGUGAACGGCGGCCGUAACUAUAACGGUCCUAAGGUAGCGAAAUUCCUUGUCGGGUAAGUUCCGACCCGCACGAAAGGCGUAACGAUCUGGGCGCUGUCUCGGAGAGAGGCUCGGCGAAAUAGAAUUGUCUGUGAAGAUGCGGACUACGUGCACCCGGACAGAAAGACCCUAUGAAGCUUUACUGUAGCUUGGUAUUGUGCCCGGGCUCGCAAUGCGCAGGAUAGGUGGGAGGCUUUGAUCAUCGGCUUGCGGGUCGAUGUGAGCCAACGGUGAGAUACCACUCUUUGCGAGCUAGGGUUCUAACGGCCACCCGUCAUCCGGGGGCCGGACAGUACCUGGUGGGCAGUUUGACUGGGGCGGUCGCCUCCUAAAAGGUAACGGAGGCGCGCAAAGGUUUGCUCAGGCUGGUUGGAAAUCAGCCGACGAGUGUAAAAGCAGAAGCAAGCUUGACUGUGAGACCAACAAGUCGAACAGGGAGGAAACUCGGCUUUAGUGAUCCGACGGUUCUGAGUGGAAGGGCCGUCGCUCAACGGAUAAAAGUUACUCUAAGGAUAACAGGCUGAUCUCCCCCAAGAGUUCACAUCGACGGGGAGGUUUGGCACCUCGAUGUCGGCUCAUCGCAACCUGGGGCUGAAGUCGGUCCCAAGGGUUGGGCUGUUCGCCCAUUAAAGCGGUACGCGAGCUGGGUUCAGAACGUCGUGAGACAGUUCGGUCCAUAUCCGGUGCACGCGCAGGAAUAUUGAGAGGAUUCCUCCCUAGUACGAGAGGACCGGGAGGAACGCACCUCUGGUGUACCAGUUAUCGUGCCAACGGUAAACGCUGGGUAGCCAUGUGCGGAGUGGAUAACCGCUGAAAGCAUCUAAGUGGGAAGCCCACCUCAAGAUGAGUAUUCCCAUGGCGUAAGCCAGUAAGGUCACGGGAAGAACACCCGUUGAUAGGCUCUAUGUGGAAGCGCAGUAAUGCGUGAAGCAGAGGAGUACUAAUAGACCGAGGGCUUGACCAA
rnacentral:rRNA from 1 species